GAGGGUAUAGCUCAGUGGCCGAGUGCGUGCCUAGUAUACACGAGGUCCUGGGUUUAAUCCCCAGCACCUCCA
rfam:Camelus ferus unplaced genomic scaffold scaffold1613, whole genome shotgun sequence.